AGCGAACGUUAGCGGCGGGCUUAACACAUGCAAGUCGAGCGAGAAAGUGGCUUCGGCCAUCAGUAAAGCGGCGGACGGGUGAGUAACACGUAGGUAAUCUUCCCUUGAGCGGGGGAAAACAGGCCGAAAGGCCUGCUAAUACCGCAUAAGUUCCAGAGGACUUCGGUCUUUUGGAGGAAAGCUAGGUAGCAAUAUCCGGCACUCGAGGAGGAGCCUGCGUCGCAUCAGCUAGUUGGUGGGGUAACGGCCUACCAAGGCGAAGACGCGUAGCUGGUCUGAGAGGAUGAUCAGCCACACUGGGACUGAGACACGGCCCAGACUCCUACGGGAGGCAG
rnacentral:rRNA from 1 species